rnacentral:misc_RNA from 1 species
UCUUUAGAACUGUUCAACUCAUACCUGUUAAAGGGAAGGGAAAAAAAUAUCAUCAUUAAAUUGGUGUUCUCUAAGCAAAAAUGUGAAAGGAUGAGCCAACAUUUAUCAAGUAUUAAGUACUUAAAAUAGAUUCAUCAUCAAGCUUCCACAAAACACGAAUUGCAACUAAUCUGCUGAUAUGGAUGGCAUGAUAAUGCGUGUGUGCAAAUCCAUGUUAUACAGUGUAGAAAUCUAACCAUCAAACAUAUCAUUGAGAAUAACAGAGCUAAUUAGGAUAAACCAAUAGAUAGGAUAAUCCUUCCAAAUGCCAAAACAUAACAAUAAAAAUUUCUAGGAAUAAAACAAGGUAAAACAUGCUUACACUCCAAGGAGGAACGGCCAG